rnacentral:rRNA from 1 species
GUAGGUGGCAAGCGUUGUCCGGAAUUAUUGGGCGUAAAGCGCGCGCAGGCGGUUCUUUAAGUCUGAUGUGAAAGCCCACGGCUCAACCGUGGAGGGUCAUUGGAAACUGGAGAACUUGAGUACAGAAGAGGAAAGCGGAAUUCCACGUGUAGCGGUGAAAUGCGUAGAGAUGUGGAGGAACACCAGUGGCGAAGGCGGCUUUCUGGUCUGUAACUGACGCUGAGGCGCGAAAGCGUGGGGGAGCAAACAGGAUUAGAUACCCUGGUAGUCCACGCCGUAAACGAUGAGUGCUAAGUGUUAGGGGGUUUCGCCCCUUAGUGCUGCAGCUAACGCAUUAAGCACUCCGCCUGGGAGUACGGCCGCAAGGCUG